rnacentral:lncRNA from 1 species
UUAUUCUACUGACUCCAAGUUCACGCAGCUGUUCAUCCCCUGCUUAAUGUACUGGUAGGUGAGUUCCUUGAAGCCCUGAACCGAGGACUUCUUGUGUACUUUAACAUUUGUUAUAUCUGAAGAUAUUCUGAUUGGCAACAUUUUUAACAUAGAGAACUGUUUAAAGAAAAUACCGCCAGCACACAACUCAUCCACAAAUUGCUGUUUUUGAAAAAGAUGGAGAGGCUGUGACUGAGAUCAUCAGAGAACCAGCCCGGCACCCCAAACAUAAUAGGGCAAAGGAGUCAGAUGAGAAUUUUGUUCAGUAUGAGACACUGGACAACAAGACAGGACCCUUGACCUCAGAAAUGCAGGAAUUCAGGAAUAUUAUAGAACAUGAAGUAGCAGAGCCGUGGAGGAGAAUUUAUAGCACUAAUCUUGAGCACUUUCCCCCGAGGACUCUGCGCUGUUUUCACAAAGGCCUCUCGGAAUGCCAGGCUGUGAAAGGUAGAAAUGUAAACACGGGGACAGGAGUGUCCUUCAGUCUAAAGAGUGAGCCACGCAGGUUUCUAGUUGCCAGCAUUCCAGUAGUGGUACUGGGAAAUGGUUUUAUAGGAUAAACAAAUCACCCAAAUGCAGAAAAUGCAAUUCCACUGAAGCAAAUCCAACUUCCUUUCCUGACGGAGAAUGUAAUUAAAUCCUGCUUCAGGAGGACGGUUUAUAUCCUCUGCUGCUGGGGGUCUCGGCUCAUGCUCAUCGCUGGUGUUUACAAGAUGACAUUACCUGCCUCCUGUGACAUGCUGAGGCAGCCCUGACUUUGAAGAUGGGGCGGUGGUGCAUGUGAGGGAAGGGGGAUGAGUGAGGCUGUGUUUCAUUUGCAGAGCUUGGCUGUUCAUCUCUCACAUUCACAUCUGACACCAGAAGCCCACACCAUGCUUGGCUUUUCCAAAACAGUGAUUCUAAUGUAACACCCUAAUAAGCUGUGUUAACUCACCUUUCAGAAGGAGGCUGGGGGGACAUACAUCACAACAAGUUGAGAGGAAGGGGUGAUUGUAACAAUAUUAAAUAUAAUUAUCACCAGCAGAAGUUCUAUGAGAUGAAGUGAAUGAAUCACAGCUCAUGAUGUCUUCAAAAUACAAUUAAAAGUGCAAUUUUACUUU